UACGAAGGGGGCUAGCGUUGUUCGGAUUUACUGGGCGUAAAGCGCACGUAGGCGGAUUGUUAAGUCGGGGGUGAAAUCCUGGAGCUCAACUCCAGAAUUGCCUUCGAUACUGGCUUUCUAGAGGCUGGAAGAGGUUAGUGGAAUUCCCAGUGUAGAGGUGAGAUUCGUAGAUAUUGGGAAGAACACCAGUGGCGAAGGCGGCUAACUGGUCCAGAUCUGACGCUGAGGUGCGAAAGCGUGGGGAGCAAACAGG
rnacentral:rRNA from 1 species